GGAUUGCUCAGUCGGUUAGAGGAUGGUGCUGAUAACGCCAAGGUUGCAGGUUCGAUCCCUGUCGGGGACA